GAUGAACGCUGGCGGCGUGCCUAAUACAUGCAAGUCGAGCGAACAGAUAAGGAGCUUGCUCCUUUGACGUUAGCGGCGGACGGGUGAGUAACACGUGGGUAACCUACCUAUAAGACUGGGAUAACUUCGGGAAACCGGAGCUAAUACCGGAUAACAUUUGGAACCGCAUGGUUCUAUAGUGAAAGAUGGUUUUGCUAUCACUUAUAGAUGGAUCCGCGCCGUAUUAGCUAGUUGGUAAGGUAACGGCUUACCAAGGCAACGAUACGUAGCCGACCUGAGAGGGUGAUCGGCCACACUGGAACUGAGACACGGUCCAGACUCCUACGGGAGGCAGCAGUAGGGAAUCUUCCGCAAAGGGCGAAAGCCUGACGGAGCAACGCCGCGUGAGUGAUGAAGGGUUUCGGCUCGUAAAACUCUGUUAUUAGGGAAGAACAAACGUGUAAGUAACUGUGCACGUCUUGACGGUACCUAAUCAGAAAGCCACGGCUAACUACGUG
rnacentral:rRNA from 1 species